UGCAGGCGUAUGGCAGGCAGGUAGACUGGCAAGCUGGCAAUCAACAGCCUCUGGGUUGCCAAGGACAUUUGACACACUGCCCUACAAGCUUGCGUCUUGGAACGCUGAGCUGAGCUGGCUCUAGAACAAGAGUGCAACAAAUCGGCCCACACUCCUGUGCGGAGGUUGGGAGUGCCAGGCUCAGGGCCCUUUGGAGGCUUGCACUGCUGCUCUCGGAUACUGCCUAGGCCUGUGUUUACACCAAGGUGGCUCUCAGCACGGAGCAGCGAGGACCAGAGAAGGCAAUGAAGGAGCCCUGAGCAUCAGACUAUCACAGGAAACCAUCUGUGCACUUCCAGCUCCAGGGACCCUAACACAAGCGAUGCGCUGAUGCCCAAGGAAGUCACAAGAGGGACUCCACCUCUUAUGGAUUCAGUAUAUGCUUCGAAUGGUCAAGUCAUCUCUACAGCCCAUGUUUUUAUCGAUUGGAUUAAAAUUUUAUUUUUGCUUCUUUUUUUUGACCCUGUUUCGAAAAAGACAAAGACAAAAACAAUCAAACAAAUAAAACUCAAAUAAAUAAAUAAAUAAAUAAAUAAACAAAUAAACAAGCAAGCAAACUGGGCAGUGGUGGUGCAUGCCUUUAGUACCAGCUCUCAGGAAACAGAGGCUGAGGCAGAUGCAGAUGGAUCUCUGUGAGUUCAAAGCCAUCCUGGUCUACAGAGCAAGUUCUGUGAUGGCCAGGGCUACAUAGAGAAACCCUGUCCAACAAAACCACUAAAUAAAAUAAAAUUGGGACUGGAGAGAUGGCUCAGUGGUUAAGAGCUCUGCCUGCUCUUCCAAAGGUCCUGAGUUCAAUUCCCAG